rnacentral:pre_miRNA from 1 species
UUAAGUCAAAUUUGUAUGGAGUUGGAAUGUUUGCCUGCGUUUGCCGCUAGAGGCGCUGUUCCAACUGCAUACUUUCAGGUA